rnacentral:rRNA from 1 species
GCCUGGGUACCACCCUGAACGCACGCAAUCUCGUCUGAUCCCGGAAGCUAAGCAGGGUUGGACCUGAUUAGUACUUGGAUGGGAGGCCACCUGGGAUUACUGGGUGCUAUAGGCU